GAGGCUAUAGCUCAAGCAGUAGAGUGCAUGCUUAGCAAGUACAAGGGCCUGGGUUCAAUCCCCAGUACCUCCU
rnacentral:tRNA from 1 species